rnacentral:rRNA from 1 species
AGUGAACGCUGGCGGUAGGCCUAACACAUGCAAGUCGAACGGCAGCACCGUAAGAGCUUGCUCUUACGGGUGGCGAGUGGCGGACGGGUGAGGAAUACAUCGGAAUCUACUUUUUCGUGGGGGAUAACGUAGGGAAACUUAAGCUAAUACAGCAUACGACCUACGGGUGAAAGCAGGGGAUCUUCGGACCUUGCGCGAUUGAAUGAGCCGAUGUCGGAUUAGCUAGUUGGCGGGGUAAAGGCCCACCAAGGCGACGAUCCGUAGCCGGUCUGAGAGGAUGGUCGGCCACACUGGAACUGGGACACGGUCCAGACUCCUACGGGAGGCAGCAGUGGGGAAUAGUGGACAAUGGGCGCAAGCCUGAUCCAGCCAUACCGCGUGGGUGAAGAAGGCCUUCGGGUUGUAAAGCCCUUUUGUUGGGAGAGAAAAGCAGCAGGUUAAUACCCCGCUGUUCUGACGGUACCCAAAGAAUAAGCACCGGCUAACUUCGUG